rnacentral:lncRNA from 1 species
AUAGAUUUCCUGCGAGUCGUUGUUUUUGUCUGACGUGUGGGAUGUGGGAGAGCGGAGUCAGAAGCUAAGCUUAGGGGCCUAGGAAAGGCAUCCCAGAGACGGCCACUGAAGUCCUCCUUGGAAAGAAUCUCGAAGACGACCCUGAUGGUCCAAUUCCCCAGCUCCUGGCAAGGGAACCGCUCCUGCUCCCUGCGAUUCCCAAGGACAGAGCUAGGAACUAGGCCUCCAGUCUGGGCGACUAAUCAAGAGGAAGGAACGUUCAAGAGCCGCCCCUUGGCCUCUAAUAAACCAAUGCAAGCUGCCGUUUCCUUA